rnacentral:rRNA from 1 species
UACGGGGGGAGCAAGCGUUGUUCGGAUUUACUGGGCGUAAAGGGCGCGUAGGCGGUCAGCACAAGUCAGUUGUGAAAUCUCCGGGCUUAACUCGGAAAGGUCAACUGAUACUGUGCGACUAGAGUGCAGAAGGGGCAACUGGAAUUCUCGGUGUAGCGGUGAAAUGCGUAGAUAUCGAGAGGAACACCUGCGGCGAAGGCGGGUGCUGGGCUGACACGUGACGCUGAGACGCGAAAGCGUGGGGAGCAAACAGG